CGACCAAAAAAAAAAAAAAAAAAAAUCGAUAAACCCCCAAUACAAAUUCGCAAAGCCAUCAGAACUAGGGUUUUUGGGUUCCCAUCGAUCUCAGCCGAUUUCGUAAACCAGAACACACAGAGCCACCCAAAAUGUUUCCAGGUAUGUUUAUGAAGAAGCCCGACAAGAAGGAGGCUCUGAAGCAGCUCAAGGUCCACGUCGGCAUGUUCGGCGCCUGGGUCGUCGCCAUCCGAGUCACUCCUUACCUUCUUCACGCUCUUUGUGGCGAAAAGGAGGAGCUCAAGCUCUCCAUUUGAGUGCAAUGCGAGUAUGGCAGAAUAACUGACUUCCGAGGAAGAUGAAUCAUUCAGAGCUUCGUAGUUUCUUUUUGACUUUGUGCCCUGGAACGCUUAUGAGACCAGUAUUAGCUUAUGUUGCUAUAGCUUUUCGUUUUAUGGGAGAUUGUUUAUUGUAUAAUGUUUGAUAUACUUUUGGCUUGGUCAACUUUAAUGCAAGGGUGACAUAUAAUUUUUGUA